AUGGUUUCUUCCUUUCAGCCUCCCGGGCAAGCAAAUGUGGGGAUAGAAAAUGCAAAUUCUUGGAGGUCCUCUGGGAUCGGUUUGGUUUGGGUUUUUUCGUUUGUUUGGGGUUUGGUUUGGUUUGUUUUGUUGUUGUUGUUUUGUUUUAAAGUAAAUCAGGUGCUCAGUCUCAUGCUGCUAGAAGGAGAGGGGAAGUGGCUCUCCACCACGUCUCGACAUGCUUUUGCUAAUAUUUGCCAGUUUUCCUGGUGAUUCCUUCCAGGCUAUUGCAGCACAAGGCAAUAGCCUAGAUCUCCUUCUUUCGCUCUCUCCUUUGCCUGGGUAAUUACUUUAAGUUCCAGCUCCCCUUCCCCCCCACCGUUAACCUUGGAUCCAUAGCUCCCGAUGACGACUCUCUCUCCUUCCCUCCUGUACAUCAGCUGUUACUUUUCAUUUCAUGGCUCACUGGUGAAACUCUAGAGCUCUUUUUCUCUUUACAUGUCCAACAUGUUCCUUCCCCACAUGCUUUUGACUUUCCUCAAGACCUUUUUAUCACAUUGAAGCCGCUGGGCGUGCGUAUUUUCGCGGGAUGAGAGGAAGAGGAAGGACAGCCAGCGCGUACAGCCAGAGGGGGAUGCCAGGCAAGCGGCUGGAGGAAGGGGAAGGAUGCUUCAGCUUCUCUCCUUGCCGUGCCGCAGGACGCGGCCACAGGACGGGGGCGUAGGACGGGGCUUCGUCCUACACCCGAGGCCGGCCUAAGUUCAGCCCCCUUUACGCAUCGGCACCUCAGCCCUGGGUUCGCUCAGGACUCAUGCGGCUCAAAAAAAGCCGAGAAAAGCAAGCUCCACCUCGUCCCAGUGGCCGAAGCAGCAAUCGGCAGAGACUACGUGAAAGGACUGAUCAGCAGGCACUCCUCGUCCCCGUGUUAGGUGGGGGAAGGGAGCAACAUCCGGCUGAUUUAGUGACUGGCUGGGGAAAACCGGCUUUGACUGGGGAAAGGAUCUGUUUGGGGGGGGAGGGAGAAAGGGGAAGGGUUAAGGAAGGAGCAUCUGUCGAGCUGAACAGGCAGUCCUGGAAAAGUGGCUGUGCCCUGUGCUCCCUGAAGGGGGGCUGAACAAGCAUCCUCUACAGCUCAGCCCCUCGGUCACUGCCGGGCUGCCCGCACUGCUCAGGCCACCACUAGGCUCGGAGUCUCCUGCUCGGAAGGAGCCGUGAGGAGUCCCACCGACUUUGAGCCCCACAGGCCCACUCAGAGCUCCCAAGAGUACCCAGCAGGCUGCCCUGGGUGUGUGGGACCACUACCUGCCCCCGUUCCAGGACUGCCCGGAUUUUACAGGAAUUGCAAACCUUAUAGUCAAAGUGAGAUUAGGAUUAGGACUGCUCAGUUUCACACACACUAUAAAAACCGCUACUGGCGCUUGAAAUGCAUUCUUAGACACUCUUCCUGUUGUUCACCUGCCUGCAGGGCAACAAAGCUGGAGAAGAGUCUAGAGACUAAGGCAUAUGAGGAGCAGCUGAGGGAGCUGGGGUGGCUCAACCUGGAGAAAAGGAGGCUCAGGGGAGACCUUUUCUCUCUCUACAGCUCCCUGACAUGAGGGUGCAGCCAGGUGGGGCUCAGGCUCUGCUCCCAGAACAAAAAGAAAUGGCACCUCAAGUUCUGCCAGGGAAGGUUCAUGUUGGGGGAAUCAGGAGGAAUUUCUUCAUGGAAAGGGUUGUCAGGCUUUGGAAGGUGAGGUGGUGGAGUCCCCAUCCCUGGAGGUGUCCAAGGAAUGACUGGACGUGGCACUCAGUGCUCUGGUCUGGUUGACAAGGUGGUGAUCGGUCACAGGUUAGACUUGCUAAUCUUAGCGGUCUUUUCCAACCUAAGUAAUUCUAUGAUAAUACAUAUGAUCCCUAAUCUUUCUUCUCUUUCCCAGCCAACUUCAGUGACUCAGUUUCAAUCAGUCACACCAAAGACAGGGCCUGCCUGUGGAGUAUAGGGACGUGGCAGUUACCACACUGCUCCAACAACUGGGAAAUCAUUUCCCUAUGGGGAGAAAUCCAUAUUGCAGCAGGGAAACAGAACAGGAAUUGAGGGUCAUUGGAGUGGGAUUGUGGGAGAGGACGGGCCACAAAAUCCAUAGGGAAAUGGACUUCAGUAGUUCUAUCAUCCACAGUUGCAUCAAAGAGAGACUCUAGAUGUCUGCCUGAGUGGGACACUUCCAAAUUGAAGUCUAAAGGAUACUUAAUGCUGCCUGAGACAUCCUGAACUCAGAUUCUACUCAGAGCUUCUUGUUAACCUUCAGCAGACUGCUUGGCUUGCUGGCUGUUCUUUAACCUUUGUGAGUUGGUUUUGCACAGCCUGGUUUUUGGUAAUGGAGGGGCCACAGAGGUGGCUUCUGUGAGAAGCUGCUGGAAGCUUGCACCAUAUCCAGCAGAGCCAGUCCCUGAUAACUCUGAAGAUGGACAUGCUGCUGGCCAGGGCUGGGCCAGUUAGAGAUGGUGGUAACGCCUCUGUGGUAAUAUUUAAGAAAAUCAAAACAAAAGAAAAUCAAAAUUCCAGCUAGAGAAGAGGAGGAGGUGAGAACGUGUGAGGGAAACAACAUGGAGACACCAAGGUCAGUGAAGGAGGGGGAGGAGGUGCUCCAGGCACCGGAGCCGAGAUGCCUCUGCAGGCCGUGGUGAUGACCAUGGUGAAGCAGCUGUGCCCCUGCAGCCCACGGGGAUCCACGGGGGAUUCAGAGAUCCACCUGCAGGCCUUGGGGGAGGUGCCCAUGCCAGAGCUGGUGGAUGCCUGGAGGAGGCUGUGAUGCAGUGGGAGACCUGGUGGAGAGACGGGGCCCUGCUCCCAGGCUGGAGCAGCCUGUCCUUGGAGGACUGCACCCCGUGGGAGAGUGACCCAUGCCCCAGCAGUUUUGGGAGGACUGCUUGCCUGUGGGAGGGACUCACAUUACAGCAGUUGUGAGAGGACUGUGUGCCUGUGGGAGGAAUUAAUAUUGUAGCAGUUUUGGGAGAACUGCUGCUUGUGAGAUUGGAACCACUCUGGAGAAGUUCACGGAGAACUGUGUCCCAUGGGAAGGGACCCCACAGUCUCACAGGGGAAGGACUCCUCUCCCUGAGCAGCGGAAGAAAACCUCAGGUGAUGAACUGACCAAAAUCCCCAUGCCCUGUCUCCCUGUGCUGUUGAUGGGAAGGAGGAAGGGGUCAGGGGAAGAAAAGGUGUUUUAAGGGCUUAUUUUACUUGUCAUUAUUCUCCUCUGAUUUUGUUAGUAAUAAAUUCACUUACUAUCUCUAAGCUGAGCCUGUUUUGUCCUUGGAGUGUUUUCU
ensembl:lncRNA